rnacentral:lncRNA from 1 species
AUAAUAAUAAUAAUAAUAAUAGCUGACUGCUUUCCAAAAGAUUACCCAGCCCCUGAAAAAAAUCACAAUUCCAAGCUUCAGUGAAGGUUUUCCCCACAUUUGUUAUAUAAAGGUGACAUUUAUCCAAAUGUGUCAAGUUUUAUAUGCUACUCAAAAUAGUGCAGAUAGGCGUACUUUUUGUAGACUAGGGAGGUAUGUAUACAUCAGUACAUUUAAAUCUACUCCUUUCACAGUUGGUCUUCUCAUUUUCUCUUGCUCACUAUCUCUUAUUCACCCCCAACAAAGCCCUGUUUCCAAUUCUUUUUGUUGAGACUCUGGUGCCAGCCAGUGUUUGUCACUAUCUCCAUCUCCUUCUAUGGUCUUUUGUGUCUCUUUAUACCUGGAGUACACAUGAAUCCUCCCCACUCAGCUUUCCCAGAACGUCACACUCUGGCUUCCCUUCUUCCAUGUCCCCGGAAGCCUGAGAGACCACAAUCCCAGAGGACCUGAGCCCCAUUCAUGUGCUCACCUGCUUGUGUCUGCCUGUUCCCUGAGUCCUUGCUUUCGCCGCAGGUUGCCUUUUGCUCUUUGCUCCUGUUUCAGCUCUUCUUAAUCAACAGAAAGAAUGAGGGUCGUGACCAACUCAGUAUGCCAUUGGAGGUUAUAUGAGCAAACAGAAAACUGUUCUCAUGAAAGCAGGAUGUUGGAAAACUGACAAACUGCGUCUGCCACCAGAAGGGGUGCUGAGGGCAGUCACACCCCCAGCGCAGUGUUCCUUGCGAUUAUCUAUAGGAGCAUCUGAAGCCUGUUGUACAAAGAAAGCAAUUAUGUGUACCUGUGAUAAAUCUAGCAGCUGACCAACUGUUACCUCUCCC